UACGGGGGGGGGCAAGCGUUUGUUCGGAAUUACUGGGCGUAAAGGGCUCGUAGGCGGCCAACUAAGUCAGACGUGAAAUCCCUCGGCUUAACCGGGGAACUGCGUCUGAUACUGGAUGGCUUGAGUUUGGGAGAGGGAUGCGGAAUUCCAGGUGUAGCGGUGAAAUGCGUAGAUAUCUGGAGGAACACCGGUGGCGAAGGCGGCAUCCUGGACCAACACUGACGCUGAGGAGCGAAAGGCCAGGGGAGCAAAGCGGG
rnacentral:rRNA from 1 species